UACAGAGGAUGCAAGCGUUAUCCGGAAUGAUUGGGCGUAAAGCGUCUGUAGGUGGCUUUUUAAGUCCGCCGUCAAAUCCCAGGGCUCAACUCUGGACAGGCGGUGGAAACUACCAAGCUGGAGUACGGUAGGGGCAGAGGGAAUUUCCGGUGGAGCGGUGAAAUGCGUAGAGAUCGGAAAGAACACCAACGGCGAAGGCAGCUCACUACACGUAUAUUGACUCUGAGGCACGAAAGCGUGGGGAUCAAACAGG
rnacentral:rRNA from 1 species